GCGAUGCAGGAUGUGGGCACCGAGAAAAAGCAAGAGAUCCCAGUCAAGACUUCGUUGGGCCCAAACCUCGGUCUGCAUCUUCUCCCAAUGGUGUGACAUUAAACUAUGGAGAGACAUCAACAGCUACAGAUUGACAAGAGCGUGUAACAUAACGUCCACAGAACUCCCACCAUGAGCUGAGCAGCUCGCUCUACCACUUGCCAUGGUCUUCUUCCUCACCAUGUCCAACAUUUCUUUGGGACAAGCCAAAAUCAAUGUUGC